CCUCGCUUUCUUUGCAGGGAGCAGGUAUGUAUGUUCCCUAUUAUGUCUGGAGGCAAAGGGAAAGGGCUUCAGUCCCCUAGGCAUCAUGUCUUUGGUGCCGGUGGCUUCCUGUCUGCUAAUUCUAUCCUCAAGCACUGGGACACAG
rnacentral:snoRNA from 2 species